UGUGUUGUAGCUCAAAAUGGUAGAGCGCCUCCUGAAGGAGGAGUUGAGCACUAACCAAGGAUCAUAACCCAGGUUAUCUCAUGCGGCUGGCCAGACGUUAUCCGGGUUCGAGUCCCGGCAGCACAA
rnacentral:tRNA from 1 species